rnacentral:lncRNA from 1 species
AGGUAGAGAGGCAGAGAGAGAGGAGAGGGGAGGCAGAGACAGUGGGAGAAGGUAGAGAGGCAGAGAGAGAGAGGGAAGGAGAGAGGAGGCAGAGAGUGGGAGAAGGUAACGAGAGAGAGAAAGAGAGAGAGGGGGGGGGGUAGAGAGGCAGAGACAGAGGGAGAUGAUAUAGAGGCAGAGAGAGAGAGGAAGGAGAGAGGGGCCAUAAAGUGGGAGAGGGUGGAGAGGAAGGAGAGAGGGGACAGAAAGUGGGAGAGGGUGGAGAGGAAGGAGAGAGGGAAGGAGAGGAGGCAGAGAUAGCGUGAGAGAGUAGAGAGGCAGAGAGAGGGAAUUAGAGAGGAGGUCGAGACAGUGGGCAAGGAUAUAGAGGCAGAGAGAGGAGGCAGACAGUGGGAGAAGCACAGAGGGAAGGAGAGGCAGACAGAGAGAGGGGCAGGGAAAGGUAUAGAGAGGUGGAAGGAGAGGAAAGAAGAGAGGAGGCAUAGAGAGAGAGGGAAGGGAGAGGCAGAGAGAGGGAAGGAGAGGCAGAGAGAGAGGGGGAAGGAAAGGCAGAGAGAGGGGGGAAGGAGAGGCAGCGAGAGGGAAGGAGAGGCAGAGAGAGAGGGGGGAGGCAGAGAGAGAGAGGGGAAGGAGAGGCAGAGAGAGAGGGGGGAGGUAGAGAAAGAGAGGGGAAGGAGAGGCAGAGAGAGAGAGAGCGGAGAGUCAGAGAGAGAGAGGUGGUAGGAGAGGCAGAGAGAGGGAGAGGUAGUGAGAGCAAGAGGGAGAAGCAGAGAGGGAAGAGAGGGAUAGGGGAAGGCAGAGAGCGAUAGAGAGAGAGAAGAGCGAGAGGGAAGGGGUGAGGCACAGAAAAAAGGUGCUUA